CAAAAGUGUAUAUUUAAGUUGUUGCGGUUAAAAAGCUCGUAGUUGGAUUUUGGGCGCAGGCGGCCGGUCCGUCGCAAGGCGUGUACUGGCCGUCCUGGCCUCACCUCCGGUUCUCCGCCGGUGCCCUUGACUGAGUGUCGGCGGCGGCCGGAACGUUUACUUUGAAAAAAUUAGAGUGUUCAAAGCAGGCGAUUCGCCUGAAUAAUGGUGCAUGGAAUAAUGGAAUAGGACCUCGGUUCUAUUUUGUUGGUUUUCGGAGCGCGAGGUAAUGAUUAAGAGGGACAGACGGGGGCAUUCGUACUGUGCCGUUAGAGGUGAAAUUCUUGGAUCGGCGCAAGACGAACGACUGCGAAAGCAUUUGCCAAGAAUGUUUUCUUUAAUCAAGAGCGAAAGUCAGAGGUUCGAAGACGAUCAGAUACCGUCCUAGUUCUGACUAUAAACGAUGCCAACUAGCGAUCGGGGGGCGUUAGUUUUACGACCUCUCCGGCAGCUUGCGGGAAACCAAAGUCUUUGGGUUCCGGGGGAAGUAUGGUUGCAAAGCUGAAACUUAAAGGAAUUGACGGAAGGGCACCACCAGGAGUGGAGCCUGCGGCUUAAUUUGACUCAACACGGGAAAUCUCACCCGGCCCGGACACAGUGAGGAUUGACAGAUUGAGAGCUCUUUCUUGAUUCUGUGGGUGGUGGUGCAUGGCCGUUCUUAGUUGGUGGAGCGAUUUGUCUGGUUAAUUCCGAUAACGAACGAGACUCUGGCUUGCUAACUAGUUACGCGACCCAAUCGGUCGGCGUCUAACUUCUUAGAGGGACUAGUGGCGUUUAGCCACACGAGAUUGAGCAAUAACAGGUCUGUGAUGCCCUUAGAUGUUCGGGGCCGCACGCGCGCUACACUGACCGGAUCAGCAUGUGCUCGCCUUGGCCGACAGGUCUGGGUAACCCGCUGAACCCCGGUCGUGCUAGGGAUAGGGAAUUGCAAUUAUUUCCCUUGAACGAGGAAUUCCCAGUAAGCGCGAGUCAUUAGCUCG
rnacentral:rRNA from 1 species